rnacentral:misc_RNA from 1 species
GCAAACUUGGUCAUUUAGAGGAAGUAAAAGUCGUAACAAGGUUUCCGUAGGUGAACCUGCGGAAGGAUCAUUAAUGAGUUUUGAACGAAGCUGUUCUGGUCUUUCGGGGCAAGUGAACGCUUCACUCAAUCCAUCUUACACCUGUGCACCUUUGGGGGGGAAAAAACGGGAAGAUUUCAGAAAGUUGGAUAACGACGGAAUGGGAUCUUCAAUGUUUUUUUCUCUUCUACCAAACAAAUUACAGUCUAUAGAAAGUCUUUUGCUUGAUGCAAAUAAAUAAUACAACUUUCAGCAACGGAUCUCUUGGCUCUCGCAUCGAUGAAGAACGCAGC